AUCACUUCUUGGCCUUUUGGCUAAGAUCAAGUGUAGUAUCUGCUCUUAUCAGUUAAAUAUCUGAUACGUCCCCUAUCUGGGGACCAUAUAUUAAAUUGAUUUUUGGAACAGGAAGAUGGAAUAGGGGCUUUCU
rnacentral:snRNA from 1 species